rnacentral:rRNA from 1 species
AGAGCGAACGCUGGCGGCAUGCUUAACACAUGCAAGUCGCACGGUCAGGUUUCGGCCUGGUAGUGGCGGACGGGUGAGUAACGCGUAGGUAUCUAUCCGAAGGUGGGGGAUAACGGCGGGAAACUGCUGCUAAUACCGCAUAUGACCUGAGGGUCAAAGGUCGCAAGACCGCCUGUGGAGGAGCCUGCGUACGAUUAGCUUGUUGGUGGGGUAAAGGCCUACCAAGGCGACGAUCGUUAGCUGGUCUGAGAGGAUGAUCAGCCACAUUGGGACUGAGACACGGCCCAAACUCCUACGGGAGGCAGCAGUGGGGAAUAUUGGACAAUGGGGGCAACCCUGAUCCAGCAAUGCCGCGUGUGUGAAGAAGGUCUUCGGAUUGUAAAGCUACUUUCGACGGGGACGAUGAUGACGGUACCGUAUAAGAACGCCCCGGCUAACUUCGUGCCAGCAGCCGC